rnacentral:rRNA from 1 species
UACGUAGGGGGCUAGCGUUAUCCGGAUUUACUGGGCGUAAAGGGUGCGUAGGUGGUUUCUUAAGUCAGGAGUGAAAGGCUACGGCUCAACCGUAGUAAGCUCUUGAAACUGGGAAACUUGAGUGCAGGAGAGGAAAGUGGAAUCCUAGUGUAGCGGUGAAAUGCGUAGAUAUUAGGAGGAACACCAGUAGCGAAGGCGGCUUCUGGACUGUAACUGACACUGAGGCACGAAAGCGUGGGGAGCAACAGGG